rnacentral:rRNA from 1 species
GAUGAACGCUGGCGGCGUGCCUAACACAUGCAAGUCGAACGAAGCGCCUUUUGAGAUUCUUCGGAUGAUUGAUCGGUGACUGAGUGGCGGACGGGUGAGUAACGCGUGGGUAACCUGCCCUGUACAGGGGGAUAACAGUUGGAAACGGCUGCUAAUACCGCAUAAGCGCACGAGAGGACAUCCCCUUAGGUGAAAAACUCGGCGCCUUAAGAUGAGCCUGCGUCUGAUUAGCUAGUUGGUGGGGUACGAGCUUACCAAGGCGACGAUCAGUAGCAGGUCUGAGAGGAUGAUCAGCCACAAUGGGACUGAGACACGGCCCAUACUCCUACAGGAGGCAGCAGUAGGGAAUUUUGCGCAAUGGGCGAAAGCCUGACGCAGCAACACCGCGUGAGCGAAGAAGCCCUUCGGGGUGUAAAACUCUGUCGGCAGGGACGAAAAAAUGACGGUACCUGCAAAGGAAGCAUCGGCUAACUACGUGCCAGCCGCCGCAGUAA